rnacentral:rRNA from 1 species
GACGAACGCUGGCGGUGUGCUUAACACAUGCCAGUCGAACGGUAAGGCCCUUUCGGGGGUACACGAGUGGCGAACGGGUGAGUAACACGUGAGUAACCUGCCCUCAUCUCUGGGAUAACAGUCGGAAACGGUUGCUAAUACUGGAUAUGAGCCUGCAAGGCAUCUUGUGGGUUGGAAAGAUUUUUUUUGGUUGGGGAUGGACUCGCGGCCUAUCAGCUUGUUGGUGAGGUAGUGGCUCACCAAGGCUUCGACGGGUAGCCGGCCUGAGAGGGCGACCGGCCACAUUGGGACUGAGAUACGGCCCAAACUCCUACGGGAGGCAGCAGUGGGGAAUAUUGCACAAUGGACGGAAGUCUGAUGCAGCAACGCCGCGUGCGGGAUGACGGCCUUCGGGUUGUAAACCGCUUUCAAUUGUGACGAAGCUUUUUUGUGACGGUAGCAGUAGAAGAAGCACCGGCUAACUACGUG